UACAGAGGGUGCGAGCGUUGUCCGGAAUCACUGGGCGUAAAGGGCGCGUAGGUGGUGGCUUAAGCGUGCGGUGAAAGCUCGGGGCUCAACCCCGAGUCGGCCGUGCGAACUGGGCUCACUGGAGCAUAGUAGAGGCAGGUGGAAUUCCGGGUGUAGCGGUGGAAUGCGUAGAGAUCCGGAAGAACACCGGUGGCGAAGGCGGGUCUCUGGGCAACAACUGACGCUGAGGAGCGAAAGCGUGGGGAGCGAACAGG
rnacentral:rRNA from 1 species